rnacentral:misc_RNA from 1 species
GAACGCGUCCAGAACGUCUGAAAACGGUGGGGUAGCCUAUAAUCUUGACCCGAUUCUGAAAUGGUUCAAGCAACUUAUUUGCUCGGCUCGAAAUUGCAGAUCCGGGCGACGAUCGAAUUUUCACAAAAUGAUAGUACAUACUCGAAGUUCACAAUACCAGGGUUAGAAUAAUAUAUAUAUAUAUUAUUUGAAAAUUAGGGAUGUUACAUUCUUUCCCCUUUAUAGAAAAUUAGUCCUCGAAUUUUAUACAAGGCAGAAUAAAAUUAAAGGAU